rnacentral:piRNA from 1 species
UCUGAUGACAGCUACAGUGUACUUAUAUA